UUGCAAUGAUGUUUGAAUUUCUUCACCUGAAACAUCAUGUGGAUAUAAAACCGAGCUUUUUAAUACUGAGCAAA